GUUUGAUUCCAGAGCAGGUUGCACAUUGGUCCUGGGUGGCUCGCAGGCUCAGGUCGUGCUUGGGCGUCCUCCUCCUAAUCGUUUCCGAAGUAGCAGCAGCAGCACCACCACCAGCAGCAGCAGCAGCAGCAGCAGCAGCAGCAGCAGCAGCAGCCGCCGCGGCAACAUCGAGCUCAGCGGCACAGCAGGCAGAACUGUGCAGAAGCGAGCACCGUUUGGGGAGUCCGGGGGGCGGGUACAUCCAGCUUUUUAAUUGCCUAAGCGGUCUGGGGCUUGCUUCGUCAUUUGGCUUUGCUGUGGAGCACUCCUGUAAAGCCAGCUGAAUUGUACAUCGAAGAUCCACCCUUUUGGUCUAUGCUGGGAGAGCACCUUAGCAAAUGACCUACACAUGAAUCCUCCUC
rnacentral:lncRNA from 1 species